UACGUAGGGUGCAAGCGUUGUCCGGAAUUAUUGGGCGUAAAGAGCUCGUAGGCGGUUCGUCGCGUCGGCUGUGAAAAACCUGAGGCUCAACCUCAGGCCUGCAGUCGAUACGGGCGGACUUGAGUACUGCAGGGGAGACUGGAAUUCCUGGUGUAGCGGUGAAAUGCGCAGAUAUCAGGAGGAACACCGGUGGCGAAGGCGGGUCUCUGGGCAGCAACUGACGCUGAGGAGCGAAAGCGUGGGGAGCGAACAGG
rnacentral:rRNA from 1 species